GUUAAGUGACACCAAAGAUGAGAGCUUAGCCUGACAGGUAGCCAAUAUCAGAAAUAGGCAGAGCAAACCAUGAACUGAAAAAGUUUUUUCAAGCUUUCCAUGUCCAUUUACAAAUCAAAAUCUUCACCACGUUUACUAUUGUUUUGAAAUUACAGGAUUCAUAAUAUUUCUGGUCUCACUGUUGGAAAAUGGGGUAAAAGGGGCAGAGGACCGAGUGAAUAAAUUUUCUCUUUUACUGCACAGCAUGGAAACUUCCCUCCUGAGAGUGGAAAAUUUUAUUUUCUUCCCAGACUCAACUGUACUCUGCGGAAAAGGAUUCCCAGAUUCUUUCUAUGAAGGCUAACAACUAAAUAAAUGCUGGAACUGAUCCAUCUCUAGCAUUCUGGAGCUGCUAUUUCACAGUAAACUGCUGAUGUCCUGAGAGGGAAGACAAGAGACUCGAACUUCGCCUACCACUCUGAUCUGGAGAUGAAGGUGUGUUUCCUACGUGAAGCCUUUCUUGGUCUAAACAAUACUGAUUUUAAAAUAAAAUAGCACCUAACUCCCUUAGAGUAUAUACCCUACUACAAAAGCUUGGCAACAAAAAUGAAUGCACAUAGCCUAUGAACAGAUGUAAGUACACAGUUAUAAACAACUACUGAAAUAUCGAUUUAUCUGGCAAAUGGAAUUUUCAUGGUAACUUUCCUUAUGAAAAGUUAUAUAUUUUAAAUAUGAGUCUGGAUGAUAACUCUUGUUUAUUUCAGAUGUAUUACAGUACACGAAAUGUAAUUCUUGGCAUAUCACCUUAAUUUGGAAGUGUUAGUGGGGCUAGAAUAACUAGCGCUGUGUUUACCAAGUAUGAAAGUAAAAGGUUUUAUAAGUACAUAUGAGUAUUGUUACAACAACAAUUAAUUUCUUUACGAAAGACUUUUUGACUAGAUAGAAUGUAUGUGGAAACUUCUGUAUCCUACUAUGAAAACAUUUCUCUUUUUAUGGGAAUGCAGUGAUUCUUCUAUUUCCUCAGUGGGAUUUGAAUUAGUUUAGCAAAAUGUAGUUUACCCAUAACAGCUGCAGCCUGCACCUGUGCUGUAUUUCAGAAAAUCAUUAAUAAUUGUAUAUUAUUUCCCCAAAACAUAGCAAUGAAGAAAACAAAUGGGCAGAAAGUGGUUACUGAGACCUAAUGAAUAAGAAAAUAAUGCAAUAUUGGUUUGAAGAGAUAUUUAUUUUUCUGAGGUAUGAAACUACACCUAAGAACGAAUAAAAAUGCUGUAUUUUCACACUUUCUUCUGAAUCAAAACAAUAUCUAAGUGGGAUGUUGAAUGUUUGAUGCUUCUAAUAUCUUUCAAAAUGAAUUUUUAACCACAAUUUUUGUUGCUGUUUUUUUGUUGGUAGUGUAAGUUUUUAUCAUUUUUGUUUGUUGUUUGUUUUUAGAAUUAGUGACAUAGGCUUUCACUUCAAUCAUGAUCUUAGAUGUAGCGAAGUCUGAUAUGUGGUGAUUCAGUCAGUGGAUGCUGCAAACUCCUGCGGAGAUGAUGCUGUGGACAUCAACACUCAGUGAAUGGGACAGAGGAGUAUGCAAGAGAGAGUCAAAGAUUAAUCUUGACAGAUGCUGAUCUUCCAAACUUGUAUUCAAGUCAUGGUGAGAUCCAAAUAUUCAUUAUACUAAAGGAAUUAUAUUGCACAUUGUAAUAUCUACAAGGGCUGCAUUCACCUUAGGCUGAAGGGUGGAGCUCCCACAGCACAAACAGCACAAGGUUAGAAAGUGCAGAGAAAGAGAAACAAAUACUCUCCACGUCCCCCUCCUGCAAACUAAUUCCUGCUUAUUUCCUCUCCAAACCUUCUUAAUUAGAGACACCAUUUGAUAAAAGAAACUAUGCAUAUUCUCUGUGAAUGCCCAGCCUCUCUUUCGUUACAAAAACGUUAGCUAAUGACCAUACAUUUCUCACAGGAUUCUUGUAAAUGCUUUUGCAGCAUUCUAGCAUUUGUUAUAGACAUUAAAAAAAAAAAAAAAAAAAAGAAUCAAACAUACUUCCAUGUAUUUUUUAAAGAACUCCAUAGCAAGUUGCCCAGAAAAUAAGUACAACAACUCCAUCCCCGUAUUUUUAAAAUAGAUAACUAAUAGAAUGUCUUCCCAUUAAAUGUAGAUACACUAACAAUCUUGUUUUAGUUACUCAAAUAGCUACAAAGAAAUCAAUUAAGAUAAAACAUAGAAAGAAUGAAUGUUAUUAAAGACUGUCACUAGGCUUGACGAGUUAAUGAGGGUUAGAUUUUGAGAGUAUUAUUGUUUUAGCAGAGUAUUAUAUUCCACUCAGAUUCUCCUCUUGACUUCAUAGACAAAACUUGCUCAGAAAUCUGUGCCAACUCUUACAUUACGUUAAUGGGACCCUGACACGUGAAACAAGCCAAUGCAGUCCUAUUGACCUCCCACGUGGGAAAGGGGUACUGUAGCUACAGAUUCAGAAAGGACAGUAAACAGUUGGUUCUGUGUUUUCUUUUUAUAUGAACGAACAAAGCAAAAUGACAAGAUUAUCACUGAUAAAAUGAACACUAAUUAAAUAUUUUUUGUACUACA